UACAGAGGGGGCUAGCGUUGUUCGGAAUCACUGGGCAUAAAGCGCACGUAGGCGGCUAGGUCCGUCCGAUGUGAAAGCCCCCGGCUCAACCGGGGAAUUGCAUCGGAUACAGCCUGGCUCGAGGACGGUUGGGGUGAGUGGAACUCCUGGUGGAGCGGUGAAAUGCGUAGAUAUCGGGAGGAACACCAGCGGCGAAGGCGGCACUCUGGGCUGGUACUGACGCUGAGGAGCGAAAGCGUGGGUAGCAAACAGG
rnacentral:rRNA from 1 species